CUGAUUAAAGGCGUUCUCUAAGUUAUGGUCAAUACUGGAGGCCAAUGCAGGAUGCAGCGAUUCUAGCUCGGGGUGGUAUGUCUGAUUGUCUCGACUAUUUUGGAUUUGUCUAGUUUGAGAGCGACUCUAAGUGUUUGAUUCUGGCUUCUGGUGAUCCAAGUAAGUGGCCUCGACUUCAAAUCUACACAAAGGAGAGUUUUGGACGACAGCAAAG
rnacentral:lncRNA from 1 species